GAUGAACGCUGGCGGCGUGCCUAAUACAUGCAAGUCGAGCGAACAGACGAGGCGCUUGCUCCUCUGACGUUAGCGGCGGACGGGUGAGUAACACGUGUAUACCCUACCUAUAAGACUGGGAUAACUUCGGGAAACCGGAUCUAAUACCGUAUAACAUGCUGAACCGCGUGGUUCAUCAGUGAAAUACGGUCUUUCUGUCUCUAAUAGAUGGAUCCCGGCUGCAUUAGCUAGUUGGUACGGUAACGGCUUACCAAGGCAACGAUGCGUAGCCGAACUGAGAGGGUGAUCGGCCACACUGGAACUGAGACACGGUCCAGACUCCUACGGGAGGCAGCAGUAGGGAAUCUUCCGCAAUGGGCGAAAGCCUGACGGAGCAAGGCCGCGUGAGUGAAGAAGGUCUUCGGAUCGUAAAACUCUGUUAUUAGGGAAGAACAGAUGUGUAAGUAACUAUGCACGUCUUGACGGUACCUAAUCAGAAAGCAACGGCUAACUACGUG
rnacentral:rRNA from 1 species